rnacentral:lncRNA from 1 species
CCUUCAUCCUUCUAUCAGAUUAGAUAGAAAAAUUGCAGGGGGGAAUCGAUUCUAUGGUUGUUUGAUGGCGGUGGGUUUAGCCGAAGAUGUAGAGAGGUUGUGUCGUGACGGUGGUUCUGCCACCGGUGAUCACCAUUUGGGCUCCGUUCCAACACAGUAGAUCAGAAACCACAAACCUCAUGUUAGAGUUUUCAUACGCAAAGAGUAAGAGACUAAGAGAGAGAAAGACCUUACGGUGUACAGAAGGAGAGAGACAGGCGAUGGGGUUUAGGGUUCCGCCUCCUCCCUGACCUUCUUCAAAACUAUUCAAAGAGAGAGAACAGCGUAGCGGCUCCGGAAUAGAGAGAGAAGGAUGACAGAUUAGAAUGCUUGCCUGCCACCGAUCUGCCGUUGAAAGGCGCAGAAGAACGAAAGGAGCAUAUUCCAACCUGAUUUCACUUGGGUUGUUUCCUCUGUAGCUUUCGAGGCAGCGCCCACUUCCAAUUUCAUCAGCAAUUGGAGCAAAUUUUGGUUGUAGAUUGUUUAGGAGUUCUGGCUAGAACCAAUAAGGAGCAAUAAAGUUUUAGGAGCCGAUUGUCAUGUCAACAUUGGACAAAUCACUAGUUCUAAUAAGCUAAAGGAAUCUAUUGUUCUUUUGUGUUGGUGCCACUUUGGUAAGGUUUGGAAAUUCAACCAAGACCCAAGAAAGGCUCCGGGCGACUCAUGCGACUACAAAUGAUUCAUGAAGAUAAUUAGCUAAGCCUCAUUGAAGAUUCAAGCUUCCGAUGUGGAAUGAUGACGCAAGAAGAUUUCAAAUUUCAGCAUUGAAAAAUGAAAUUUGGGAAUUUUCGGGAUUGCUUUUCAUAUCACGAUUCAACCAUGGUGUGUAGGAAGGAUGCCACCUAUGUUAUCAUAAAGCUUGAUGUUUGAGGGUGAUUAUAUCAAAUGGGAAAAGAAAAGAAAUAUCAUUCCAUGGAAGUUGCUUAUGUAUAAAAGUGGAGAUCUUAAAUAGGAGAGGAUAAUGUUCGUGAACUUCCACUAGCUCAAGUUCCUAAGUUGGCUACAAAAGUUGAGUAGCAGCAAUGCGUCAAAACAACAAAGCAACCAUGAAGUUAAAAACUUCGCUUGAUGUCAUAUGCUAUAGCGCGUGUUGGCGAUGUUUC